rnacentral:rRNA from 1 species
CGAUGAAGAGAGCUUGCUCUUGGAUUAGUGGCGAACGGGUGAGUAACACGUGAGUAACCUGCCCUUGACUCUGGGAUAAGCACUGGAAACGGUGUCUAAUACCGGAUACGAGCUUCAGCCGCAUGGCUAGGAGCUGGAAAGAAUUUUGGUCAAGGAUGGACUCGCGGCCUAUCAGCUAGUUGGUGAGGUAACGGCCCACCAAGGCGACGACGGGUAGCCGGCCUGAGAGGGUGACCGGCCACACUGGGACUGAGACACGGCCCAGACUCCUACGGGAGGCAGCAGUGGGGAAUAUUGCACAAUGGGCGAAAGCCUGAUGCAGCAACGCCGCGUGAGGGACGACGGCCUUCGGGUUGUAAACCUCUUUUAGUAGGGAAGAAGCGAAAGUGACGGUACCUGCAGAAAAAGCACCGGCUAACUACGUGCCAGCAGCCGCGGUAAUACGUAGGGUGCAAGCGUUGUCCGGAAUUAUUGGGCGUAAAGAGCUCGUAGGCGGUUUGUCGCGUCUGCUGUGAAAACCCGAGGCUCAACCUCGGGCCUGCAGUGGGUACGGGCAGACUAGAGUGCGGUAGGGGAGAUUGGAAUUCCUGGUGUAGCGGUGGAAUGCGCAGAUAUCAGGAGGAACACCGAUGGCGAAGGCAGAUCUCUGGGCCGUUACUGACGCUGAGGAGCGAAAGCAUGGGGAGCGAACAGGAUU